CCCUAAACCCUUUUGCCUCAGCCGCACCCUUACCCCUCUUUCACCCUCUUCAGUGUAAUACACUCGGCCCCACUCAAACUCACACACGGACAAGAGACGAAGAAGGAGAAGAGGACGACGCCGGCGGGUUGGGUGCUGCCGUCGCUGUCGUUGCCACGUCUGAGGGAGAAAGAGAUCAACAGAGAGUGCAGUUGCUGAACCCAGGAUCGCUGCUGCUGAAGGCCUUGUCUCCACCGUCCAUGGAACCAUGAGUCGCGCCGCUGUCACUGAGAGGAGGAGGGAGAAGGCACGAUGCUGGAGGAGCGCGACCCGCCGCGCCGCCGUGGGUCCCUUGCCAUCGAGCUCGAAGGAGCAGAGGAGAACGACAUUGGGUUUGACGGAGACAGAGGUGGAGUGGCGCGAGGUGGAAGGCGAGCAGUUCGCGUUGCCGUUCGUGCCACCGUUGCUGAGCCAUAGCGCCGCCACCGCCGGGUCUCACUGCUGUGCGUCGCCGUCCAAAGUAGAGAGUCACGAUGGAGCUCCGUUUGUGCUUCUCUGGUCACUGCCGAGAAGAGGAGCUGUAUUCCACGCUGCUGUCGCCAUCGAUCCACGGCCACCACCGCGAGGGUUCCGCCGCCGUCGUUCCAGUGCCAUCGUUUGUGUCCUUCGUCGCCACUGCCUUAUUGGAGUCUUUGCCGCUGUGGAUACUGUCAUUGGAGUCGCUAGGAGCCAAUUUUGGAGCUGCCCUUGACGAUUCUGAUGUUGCUACGUAGGUUCCGAGCUGUUGUGUUGUUGCCAGAGGAAGGGAACUCAUAGGAAAAAAUGUCACCGAGGCUGCUGUUUGGUUUAAUUGCGUUGUUAAUGUGACAUUGAGGUAUUUUCUGGCUGAAAUUGAGGGACCUGAGCAAAACUCUGAUAAGAAGGCUGACAAAGGACUGCUGAUGCUGUUGGAAUUUGACCUACCUGCACUCGAAAUGGAUUUUAUGGAGCUACAAAACUCCAAAUGGCGCGCUCUUAACGGUGUUGGAAAGUAGGCAUCCAGAGAUUUCCAGAAAUAUAUAAUAGUCCAUACUUUAUUUGAGAUUUGUCGACGUAAAUUGGCGCUCAACGCCAGUUCCAUGCUACAUUCUGGAGUCAAAUGCCAGAAACACGUCAUGAACCAGAGUUGAACGCCAGAAACACGUUACAACUUGGUGUUUAACUCCAAUAAAAGCCUCUGCAUGUGUAACAUUCAAGCUCAGCCGAAGCACACACCAAGUGGGCCCCGGAAGUGGAUUUCUACAUCAAUUACUUACUUUUGUAAACCCUAAGUAGCUAGUUUAUUAUAAAUAGGACAUUUUACUAUUGUAUUUUCAUCCUGGAUUGUAUUUUUGAUCCUGUGAUCAUGUUUUGGGGGCUGGCCAUUCGGCCAUGCCUGGACCUUCAUCACUUAUGUAUUUUCAACGGUGGAGUUUUUACACACCAUAGAUUAAGGGUGUGGAGCUUUGCUGUACCUCAAGUUUUAAUGCAAUUACUAUUACUUUCUAUUCAA